rnacentral:rRNA from 1 species
UACAGAGGGGGCAAGCGUUGUUCGGAAUUACUGGGCGUAAAGGGCGCGUAGGCGGCCUGUUAAGUCGAACGUGAAAUCCCUGGGCUCAACCCAGGAACUGCGUCCGAUACUGGCAGGCUUGAAUUCGGGAGAGGGAUGCGGAAUUCCGGGUGUAGCGGUGAAAUGCGUAGAUAUCUGGAGGAACACCGGUGGCGAAGGCGGCAUCCUGGACCGAUAUUGACGCUGAGGCGCGAAAGCCAGGGGAGCAAACGGG